CAGUCGCCGCGGUAAUACAGAGGAUGCAAGCGUUAUCCGGAAUGAUUGGGCGUAAAGCGAGCGCAGGCGGUUAGAUAAGUCUGAAGUUAAAGGCUGUGGCUUAACCAUAGUACGCUUUGGAAACUGUUUAACUUGAGUGCAAGAGGGGAGAGUGGAAUUCCAUGUGUAGCGGUGAAAUGCGUAGAUAUUGGGAAGAACACCAGUGGCGAAGGCGGCUUUCUGGACUGCAACUGACGCUGAGGCUCGGAAGCCAGGGGAGCGAACGGGAUUAGAUACCCCUGUAGUCCCUGUCUCUUAUACA
rnacentral:rRNA from 1 species